UGUCCAUGUGAAAUGUCUUCUUCCAGUUAUUUACGCAUGGAAGCAUUUCUGUUGUCCUGAGGGUACAUAUUAGUCUGGUUUGCGCUUAUUUGGCUGUGAUCCAGUGGCACACUCUGCCCAGACAUCUUUUAUAAAUCAUGCCCAAUGUACUCCCAUGCAUUCUUUAGAGGACCACAACACAGAGUACAGCAUGUCCCUGGAUUCUUGGUACCAGCUUCUGACUCAACUGCAGUGUGCAUAUUUUGUGCUGGAGGAUCUUUUUACUGCAGUACUUAAUGUUCGGUGAGAGUUUAAUCAAGAAACAUGAGUAAUUGGCAUUAGCAUCCACUUCUGAGCAAGAGAACAGCUUUGAUAGCAUCUACACUCAUUAGACAUUUCGUUCCAAACACUGUUCAUUCCAGUCAGCACUCUUCAUAUUGGCUUCUGCUUUGUAAAUACAGCACAGAUUCUGCUGGGCACAGAAGCAGGCCUUGAGCAAACACUCCGUGGUUACACAGAAGCAAGAAGCUUUAACUGUUGAAAAGAAACAAGUGGAACACAACAGUUACUUAAAAAAAAAUUUCUAAGCAGUGUGCAAGACAACAGAAAGAUCUUCAAUGACAGGACACAGGAUUUAUAUACUGGCUGCCUACCUGAAAUGAGUAGGAUUGGUUUUGCUCACGUUCUGGUGUGAAUCACUGGAAAAGCUCAAGCUUCCACUGGGGAGGCCUGAUGAAAACUUGUUGGGCUGCACUCGUGGAACCAAAACAAUAAUAUGCAGUGAAGGGGCAUCAGCCAUGCCAGGAGUGAGAUGGGAGGGAGCCAAACAGGUCUCUGUGCUUUGCCCUUGUCUGCUUGUGUAAGAAUCCUGAACAGAAAAUGGAGUGCACCAGCAGGUCUGCACCACAGCCCUUGUCCUCCUACCACUGGAAUCAAGGCAGCAGAGUGGGAGCUGUGGUGUUGA
rnacentral:lncRNA from 1 species